AUGUCGGUCGCCGUGUCUGGAGGGGAAGAAGCGAGCGCUUGCGGCCCUGGACCGAUGGUUCACCUAUCGAAGCCGAGCUUCUUCAAGAACAAGAACAGCACCACGAGAGCAAGAAGAGGAAGCAAGCGCUUAAGAGGAUGUAGUUUUGAAUUAUUCUUAGGGAAUCUGGUCGCUGGUCGAACUCCUCGGCGUGACACAAGUAGAGAAAAUUUCUUUGCAAUAUUCAGGAGAAUAGACAUAACUUUCCAAUGCUGUAUAGAUGGAGAAGCGCAUCCUGUCUACUCGGAGUGGUACACAAGAGUUUGCUACAUGGUGAUGCCAAGGCUAUGAGUGGAGGGGACACUUUAAAUGAAGAUCUCAGUUAUAUAUCAUUCAGAAAGGUGACAAGGGCGGCAGAAGCUUUACAAAGCCAUUCGAAACGUUCAAGGAAGCACAGGUCCAUGAGGCAACAUGAAAAGUGUGAAACAUUUGAUCUGCCCAAGGAGUUUUAUAAUUGUUCCAAAAGUGAAUUCCAUGUUCAUAUUUCAAGCUGGCUAUUGGGAGAUUACAUUGUAUGGAGACAAAAUUUGAAAAUAAUUGUUGGAGAAAACAAAUCCCAGAAGCAUCAAAACACAUUUUGACAAGACGAGACAGAAGGUUAUCGAUCCGGCUAAUGGUAUAACACUUUAGCUAUUUGUAUGUAGGGGAUUCUGAUAUGAAUAUUGCAUUAUUUUUGUAAGCAUGACUUUGUUAGGCUUGGCAUCUUCCUCAGAUUAUAGGGCAGCUUCAUCAUGCUGCUCUACUUUCUGUCUUGUGGUUAAUAGGAGACCUGAAUCUGAUCCAGCUCUUGGGUCACUUGGUUACAAUUCAGAGUUUCCAUCCAAGAUUUUCCUCAUUAUCUUAGAUCUGGAUCUUCCUUGGUUCCUUAGGCUUGGAGGAAAAUGGGAUAUACACAUUGUGGCUGGACCACUUCUAGAUAUAAUUACUGGUAUCAAAAUGCGUUAGCAAUGAAUCAUUUAAAUUUCAAUCA